rnacentral:tRNA from 1 species
UCCGCAGUGGCUCAGAUGGUAAAGAAUCUGCCUGCAAUGCAGGAGACCCAGGUUCGAUCCCUGGGUCCAGAA